AACGGAUAAACAUUGGAUCAUUGGAGUACUUAAAAUAUAUGCAUUCGUUCCGUUGUUUUACUUUAUUUUGCUGAACAGUGCUAUGAAUGAAAAUGUUUUCACCUUUUUUAUUUAUAUUAUCGAUGUUUUACAAUUGUUGUUUAGUUUAACAAGUUAUAACAACUGAGCAGAUCAUUAAUCAGAUAUAUGGUGGGGGAUUGUGGUAACAAAUAGAACAACUUGACAGAUUUGACACAGAUCCUUCAAAUUGUUCAUCCAUUUCAUGAUGGUAUCAGGAUAUCUAUGAACAGUUUUUAUUUUGAAAAAUGUUAUAUAUAAAUAUAUACGUAUUUUGAGAAGUUCCUAUGUGAAUUAAAUUUCAAGUUGUAUUACCCAAAACUUCAAUAUAAACUAACAUGAACACAAAUUGAAAACAUCAUGUUCCCAUAUUGUUAGAGGGUGGGGUUUUAGUAUGGGAAUAACACCAGAUUGGAAGGCUUCCAAAAUGAUACAUAUUUAUGCAAUGUUAUAAUAAAAACAAGUAUCACAAGUUUGUAAUCUGCAUAUUACUAGUUUAUUUUUUUAGAAAAUUAUAAACAACCAUUAUCAUGAACAACAAACAAAUAUAACACAGAUAAAUUGCAUAACUUAAUAUGAAAUAAACAUUUAUAUCUAUCUUUUUUUUUUAUAUAUAAGCCUUGUACAAAUUCUAACACAAAGCAAUGAAACAGAUUUGUUUUAAAGUUACAUGUAAAUCAACUUACUCUAAAAUCCAGUGUAACAAUAAAUGGGUAAUUUUCAAAUAAAGGAAUUGCUCAAUAAAAACAAGCCUGGCUAUCUGUUCAAGCAUAUAAAUAUUCAAACAGAGACUAAACAAGGAAGUAUUUGCACGGAAUUGGAAUUUCCCAGACUAUAUUUUCAAAAAAAAAAAAAUGUACAACAAAAAAUACUGAACUCAAAGGUAAAUUUAAAAGGGAAAGUCCAUAACAACUGACAAAAACCGAGUUUUAUUAACCAAUGGAAUGUGUGAAAAACAAAUCUCAUGUUUGUGUGUGUGUAUGUGCAUUUUCGGAAGAAUUCGAUGGUUUAACCUGGUUUUAAAGCUAGCUUAUCCACACACUUGUUUGACAUUUGUUACCAUUGAAUUUAAAAGUCUCAAAUUCUAUGUGAUAACUUCUUUCACUCGUCUAUCUAUUGAAUCCUUAUUAAAGAUUUUCAAUUCUGACCAAAAAAAUUUCAUUAUACUUCCAAUCAACUUGUCUUUAAAAAAAACCAGUUAUCACUGUGCGGGUUUUUAUUACCGUGAAUAAUGCUACUGGGCGAUUAUGGCAAAAAUAUGAACUCACAUUCUGAUAACUGAAACAUAGAUAUGUAUGUAGAUUUUUCCCAAAAUCGCAUUCAAUCAACUCACAUUUUUGUCUAUUCUUGUACAAUCGCAGUAAUAAAUGCAUGCAAUAAUUUUUGAAUUUACAGGACACAAAGAUUUAGCCUUAACUCAUUCUAAAAUAUAAAUUCUCAAUCAAGAAGGCGGAUAUCUUGAAAUUGGUCAACAAACCUGAAUUUUGUGAUGUAAUGUUCCAAAUUGCACCAGGACUAUAUAAUCAUUAAAAUAAAAAUAUGUGGCAUAAUUGCCAAUGAGACAACUAUCCACCAAAGUUCAAACAACAAUCAUGAAAGCAAUUAUAGGUCACCAAACAGCUUUCAACAAGAAGAAAACUCAUACUGUAUUGUCAGAUAUAGAUGGUUUUCCAACUUUUAAUAACAUAAUCAAAUAUAAACAUAAACAGUACCAAAUUUACAGCAUCACAUUUAAUGUCUCUUUAGUAAUGCCAAAGUCCAAAAUAUUUGAGUUGAACAAUUUUAUAUGAGCUGUAACUGUGAAAUGUGACCCUUAAAAGAAAUGUUUAAUGCCAUUAACAUAUUGACAAUAGCAACUGAAAUAGAAAAAGUUGUAAAAAAUUAUUACAAAAUGACCAUGGUUACACUCCAUUUACAACAGUUUCAUUAUUUGUGAUUUUUAAACUAUAUACUACCAUUAUUAUAAAAAGAUCAAGAACUUUUUAUAAACACACCACUACAAAUCUAUUGUUACAUCUAUCAAUAUAAAUGAAGCAUAGAAAAUAAAAAAAAAAAAACAACAACAAUAAGAUCUAUUCCAGGAAAAUUGAAUGUGAGGAUGAAGACCUUUUAUUGAUGAGCUCUCAAUAUUUAUUCAUUUAUAUUUUUUUUCAUUAUAAAAUAAAUUUCAUUUUUGUGGAUCAUUGAUUCUAUCGUUUUGUGAAAGUAUGCAUACAAGCAAUUGACAAUUUGUACUUUUGUAUUUCAAAUUUGUGAACAAAAUCUAUCAAAAUUGGUCUUCAAUGACUGAUAAUGAAUCCAUAGAAGUGCAUAUUGUAGCACUAAUUAAAUAUUUAUGUUAGAAAGUUGAUUUUAAGCAGCAAUCAAGAUUAUUUAAUACAAUUUCGAUAUUUCAUUUAAGGAACAUUUUUUAAAAGUCAGGUCCUUACUUCUGUCCAUAUUGCGAUAUAGAUGCCAAAACUAAAUUGAGAGCUGAUAAAAUUACACUGCAAACUAUUUUUGAAACUUGCAAAGACCUAUCGUGGUUUAAAUAAGUUAUAUAACAAUUUCUUAUUUUCAUAUUUGUAAUUCCAACUGUACAUCACAAAACAAACUUAUUUAUCAUCUAUCCCACAUACUUUCCUGGAAAAGUCUUUGUCUCCCAUCUUUUAAGGUGGGUAUAUAACAUUAAUAUCACAGAUAUUUGAUAGAGGUACACCUUUUUAUAGAACAAUAUGGUUUUGAUAUUGUUUCUUUUUCUACCACAUAUUCUUAUAAAUACAAUUGACAAGACAUUGAAAAAAACAACAGAUUUUUUUUUCAUGCUUCAGGAAGCAUUUGUCUAUAAUCUUAAAUCUUUUUUUAAUAAUAAAUGUGUGAGCAAAGAGCUUAAUAUUUUUGAAUAACACAUUACUAUUGAAACUUUAACCUUACUAAACAAACAAUUUGUAUGAAGGAUAUUUAAAUCAUCAAAAACCGAUUUUUUUUUACAAAAAGUUCUUAGAGAAAUGAUAAGACAAAGAUUAUAUCUAAAUAAUUUAAUUUUGGAUGUAACACGUCUUCUGAUUGGCUGACGUUGUUUUGUUAUCAGCUCAUAGACAUAAUUUAGUCAUGUCACCGUGACAUCAUCAACAUUUUUUUAAUGGUUUACUCUGGUUUAAAAUGGAAUUUAGAAUUAUAUUAUAAGAAAUAACUGUAAUAUUUUAUCUGUCUAUUCGAAAUAACAUAUAAAAUGUGUUGCACACUUUAAAAUAACCCGCUACACGUGUUAUUCAGUGUGCAACACAUUUCUUAUGUUAUUUCUUCAUAGACAGAAGAUACAUUACAGUCAUUCCUUAAAUCUUUAAAUUGCAAGAAAAUAAAAAAAUAAAAAUUUGUGAAAAUUUUGAAAAAGCCCAUAAAUUCAAUUAAACAAUCUUGAAGCAAAUUAUUUACUGGCCUUUUCAGGGAUAAUACUUUUAUAGUCAUGGGACAAUAUUGUUAUUGAAACAAUCAACAAAUAAAUAUUUAAUCAUUUCAUUUUGUUUUAUUUUUAAACAAGCCGGGUUCAAAAUUUUAAUUUCAGCUAUCUAAAUAUUUUGAAACCUGUUGCUUUAAACAAUUCAUUUGCAGCACAAUAUUCUAAUUGGAGCUAUCUGAAAAUUUAAGAAUCUUUUCUGUUAAAUUGGAAAAAAGUAAUUUUAAACUUAAAAAUAAUAAGUUCGUUAUCUUCUAACUACAGUAAAAAUUAACAAAAAAUAGUAUGUCAAGUUAAAUAACAAAUAUAUAUUUAAAAAGUUUCAACAAGUUUUUAAUCGGUAUCCUCUCUUGCCACAUGUCCUAUUAGGUAUAUGUUGUCAUAGAGAUGACCUGCAAAAUCUUCAUCUACACCAAGUGCUGCCCUCUUUGUAUUUUUGAUAAAUUCUCUUUUUGACAUUUUGUUCUUUACAGCUGGACUGGUUAGGUCCACAGAUAACAUAAUCAGUGAAAAACACAACACAAAAACAGUAUCUGAAAAAAAUAAUGAAUUUCAAUUUAUUAUUAUAACUAGUUUGUUUAAUUGUUCCAACCUUCUUGUGAAAAUUUUUAUUAAGGUAUA
rnacentral:lncRNA from 1 species